UACGGAAGGCAGCAGUGGGGAAUAUUGGACAAUGGGCGCAAGCCUGAUCCAGCAAUGCCGCGUGGAUGAAGAAGGUUUUCGGAUUGUAAAGUCCUUUCGACGGGGACGAUGAUGACGGUACCCGUAGAAGAAGCCCCGGCUAACUUCGUGCCAGCAGCCGCGGUAAUACGAAGGGGCUAGCGUUGCUCGGAAUGACUGGGCGUAAAGGGCGCGUAGGCGGAAUGCUUUGUCGGGCGUGAAAUUCCAGGGCUUAACCUUGGGACUGCGUUCGAGACGGGUAUUCUAGAGUGGAGAAGAGGGUCGUGGAAUUCCCCAGUGUAGAGGUGAAAUUCGUAGAUAUUGGGAAGAACACCGGUGGCGAAGGCGGCGACCUGGUCUUUUACUGACGCUGAGGCGCGAAAGCGUGGGGAGCAAAACAGGGAUUAGAUACC
rnacentral:rRNA from 1 species